CACGUGAGCAACCUGCCCCUGACUCUGGGAUAAGCGGUGGAAACGCCGUCUAAUACCGGAUAUGACCUGCCACCUCAUGGUGGCGGGUGGAAAGUUUUAUCGGUCAGGGAUGGGCUCGCGGCCUAUCAGCUUGUUGGUGGGGUAACGGCCUACCAAGGCGAUUACGGGUAGCCGGCCUGAGAGGGCGACCGGCCACACUGGGACUGAGACACGGCCCAGACUCCUGCGGGAGGCAGCAGUGGGGAAUAUUGCACAAUGGGCGAAAGCCUGAUGCAGCGACGCCGCGUGGGGGAUGACGGCCUUCGGGUUGUAAACCUCUUUUACCACCAACGCAGGCUCCGGGUUUUCUCGGGGUUGACGGUAGGUGGGGAAUAAGGACCGGCUAACUACGUGCCAGCAGCCGCGGUAAUACGUAGGGUCCGAGCGUUGUCCGGAAUUAUUGGGCGUAAAGAGCUCGUAGGCGGCAUGUUGCGUCUGCUGUGAAAGACCGGGGCUUAACUCCGGUUCUGCAGUGGAUACGGGCAUGCUAGAGGUAGGUAGGGGAAACUGGAAUUCCUGGUGUAGCGGUGAAAUGCGCAGAUAUCAGGAGGAACACCGGUGGCGAAGGCGGGUUUCUGGGCCUUACCUGACGCUGAGGAGCGAAAGCAUGGGGAGCGAACAGGAUUAGAUACCCUGGUAGUCCAUGCCGUAAACGUUGGGC
rnacentral:rRNA from 1 species